rnacentral:tRNA from 1 species
AAAAAAUUAGUUUAAUUAAAAUAUUUAGUUUGAAACUAAAAGAAAUUUUUUUAAAAUAUUUUUUG